rnacentral:rRNA from 1 species
GAUCAUGGCUCAGGAUGAACGCUAGCGAUAGGCUUAACACAUGCAAGUCGAGGGGCAGCACGGUGUAGCAAUACACUGGUGGCGACCGGCGUACGGGUGCGUAACACGUAUGCAACCUACCCGCUAUUGGGGGAUAACCCGGCGAAAGUCGGACUAAUACCCCAUAUUAUUCUUACCGGGCAUCCGGUAGGUCUGAAAGAUUUAUCGAUUGCGGAUGGGCAUGCGGAUGAUUAGCUAGUAGGUGGGGUAACGGCUCACCUAGGCGACGAUCAUUAGGGGUUCUGAGAGGAAGGUCCCCCCACACUGGAACUGAGACACGGUCCAGACUCCUACGGGAGGCAGCAGUGAGGAAUAUUGGUCAAUGGGCGCUAGCCUGAACCAGCCAAGUCGCGUGAAGGAUGAACCAGAUCUAUGGUUUGUAAACUUCUUUUGCAGGGGAGUAAAGUGCGACACGUGUGUUGUAUUGCAAGUACCCUGCGAAUAAGCAUCGGCUAACUCCGUGCCAGCCGCGGC